GUCGACUCUUCUUCAGGCCCAGGCCCAGGUCUUCUCUUCGUCUUCCUCGCGUCCCUGCGAUCUCCACGAUGAGAUCCUGAAACGUCAGUCGGCGAUGUUGAGCAGUAACGUCUUCCCUUUCAAUUAAUCACAUCUUUACUCCGACUUCAAUCGAUUGCUCCAACCCGACUUAAAAGUACCUCUUUGUCUUCCUUAAAAACCGAAUGAAGGCUUCCCUAUAAAUAUCGGUCUCCUCCUGCUGCGAUGAGCGCACCUCACACAAUAUCAGCUUGAAGAAAUUGAUCAUUUUUAAGACGUUUUAUCUGAUUGGAUAGGAUUUAGUUAUGGGAAUGAGCAUUGACCUGCGAGAUUAUUUUUGUACUUUGUACGAAGCAUAUCUUUAUUACAGUCCUCUUCUUCUUGUAACGAUGAUGGUUUGGCAGAGGGGGAGUGAAUUAUGUGUGUUCUCUCAAGCAAGUGUAACAGCUAGAAAAUCUUUUGUACUAGCUGUUGUGGAAAAGGUUUUGAUGGGAAAAAGAAAGUGGAGACAGAGCCAUCUCGGAAGAUAUUCUAAUUGAAGGAGCCACACACAGUUUUAACUAACACAACAAACUCGGUGAAGGUUGCUUUGCAGUGUGAAUUGGGGUCAUCUCUCCGAUCGUUCACAAGUUGCAGUCAAGAGACUCAACAAGGCAGGGAGUAACAGAAAGAUAUAGAUUUCGCUGUUGAUGCUAGAUGAUGCUAGACUUUGAGUGUGAACCUCGGGUUAUGGAAUUUUGAAAUGGCAGACUGAUGCCAGAUGAUGACGAACAAUGGAGGUACUAAAGCCAGAAGUAACAAUGGGUAUCUCUCACCAGAAUGUGUUGCAUCAGGGAAAGAAUCAUAAGCUGAGGACGUGUACAGUUUUGGUAUCUUAUUGCUAGAACUGGUUAGUGGUAAAGUUGAGAGGCUAAGCGCAACAACAAAGUGUGGUAUAACCGAGCGGGUGUAUCUUUGUUCACUUGCCAUGGAUGUGAUGAUUCAAAUGCUGUCGGUGUCGUCAGAUACCAUGUGGAGUUGUCCAUUUCAGGUGAAACCUACGAUGCUGUGUUCGUUGUAUGUAGCACUUUCAGGAGUUACAACACCUAGUGGUCUCAAAAUACUUGACAUAACGGCUGCAACAAGCAGUACAAAUGGUGUAACUAACAUUGUUUACAGGGAGAUUUUCAACGACCUUGGGACAGCUAGGAUAUGCGAGCAGUUUACUUGACAUCAACAGCAAGGCUAUUUCUUGCAAAACGAAUAUACCAAGAAUCCAGUGGUUGGAAUAGCUGGGAGUGUGUUUUCGUGUAGCUUUGUCCCCAAUAAUUCAUAUCUAAGUUUAGUGCAUUGAUUCACUCAUCCCCAUGGUUGGUUGUUUUCAUGUUAAAUACGAGAAGCACACUUUUGGGCAUAUAUAUAACUUGAAUAAAUGGAUCCAUUUGGUUUA